UGUUCUGGGGUUUUCUUUCAGCUCCUUGUGGAGUUUUUGUGUAUGCACUGGUUCUGUUUCCACCACUAGAGGGAGCCUAUUCCAUUUGGUCGGAGGGCGAGGAUGACGUCAUCCCACACCUGAGGCGAAUUGAGCUCAUCAACGAGACGUUCAAGAGAGGCAGACUGCCAGUCCUUCGGCGCCUGAGUGUUAGCCAGUCAUGGUGCUUCCUCCUGGCCUCUCGUUGUCCGAGCCCCCAGACUCACUCCAUCCGUGAACCAUCCAGCUCCUCCCAGAUUCCCACGACUGGCAGUCGUACUGCUUCUCUACCGCCGCCGCUCUAGCCUACCUGUCCGCCCUCCGACGUGCUCCCGUUUCUUCCUGGAUUUCAGCCAGCCAACAUCACCGCGACCUGGAACCACUGAGAACCGUAAACCCCGGACAUUUCAGUACUCCCUCACCUCGCUAACCCAGCGGUCCUUCAAUGAACCGCUUGUUUCCUGUUGUCGCCUUUCUCCCUGGAUCGACCCGAGCCUUCAGUGCUCUGCAGCAGUGUCUUCAAUAAACUUCACUUUUUUU